rnacentral:ncRNA from 11 species
AGGGCUUAGCUGCUUGUGAGCA